rnacentral:rRNA from 1 species
GAUGAACGCUGGCGGCGUGCUUAACACAUGCCAGUCGAACGGAAAGGCCCAAGCUUGCUUGGGUACUCGAGUGGCGAACGGGUGAGUAACACGUGGGUGAUCUGCCCUGCACUUCGGGAUAAGCCUGGGAAACUGGGUCUAAUACUGGAUAGGACCACUUCUUGGAUGUUGUGGUGGAAAGUUUUUUCGGUGUGGGAUGAGCUCGCGGCCUAUCAGCUUGUUGGUGGGGUAAUGGCCUACCAAGGCGUCGACGGGUAGCCGGCCUGAGAGGGUGUACGGCCACAUUGGGACUGAGAUACGGCCCAGACUCCUACGGGAGGCAGCAGUGGGGAAGAUUGCACAAUGGGCGCAAGCCUGAUGCAGCGACGCCGCGUGGGGGAUGACGGCCUUCGGGUUGUAAACUCCUUUCGCUAGGGACGAAGCGUUUUGUGACGGUACCUGGAGAAGAAGCACCGGCUAACUACGUG